GCGUGGAGCAUGUGGCUUAAUUUGACUCAACACGGGAAAUCUUACCGGGUCCGGACAUACCGAGGAUUGACAGACUGUUAACUGCAACACAAGCUGCUAAGUUUUAAACUUAAUAGCUCUUUCAUGAUUAUAUGAUAGGUGGUGCAUGGCCGUUCUUAGUUCGUGGAGUGAUCUGUCUGCUUAAUUGCGUUUCAAAAUUUAAACCUGAGCGACAAGGUGCUGCUAUCGAAACUGUCUUUGAGUGUGAACUAUAAGUCUUUUGACUUAUGACCAUCACUCUAGACGUUUAUGUUUUGGUGUUGGCCCUUGAUGCUCAUUUGAACGCAACGGACGUGAUUGCAACCCCUUGUUGAGAUUUAUCCGAUCUCUACGUUCACUGAACCACACUCUUUAGCGAGAGCAGUGGGGAUGUGGAUAAACUCGGGGGACUGCUGACUAUAAACUUU
rnacentral:rRNA from 1 species